CGUCAAAGUCGUCUGACGUGUUUAAUUUUCUAAUUUCCCAAUAGUUUUUGAAAACGUUUGUGAAACAUUGCUUACGUUUGUUUUAUCAAUACAUCGAUUCGAUAAGCCAUUAUCGCUCAUAUGUCCACGUAGCGAGUCUACCUAAACAGAUUAAAAAAAAUGCUGCGUGUAAUAUUUUUCGCUGCGAUGCUGCAGUGUACGAUAUCACAACAAUAUCAACAGAAAGUAGCUCCGGGCGUUCCUCCGCAGAAUUAUCAGGUAACAGUUUGAGAAAUAAACAAACAAACAACAAAUGUAUCAUUAAAUUGUAAUAUUUAUAUUAUUAACGGACAAUCUCGUCGAAGUUACUGUUGACCCAAGAGCUGGCAGCUGCUUUAAGUAAAA
rnacentral:lncRNA from 1 species